rnacentral:lncRNA from 1 species
AUCAUGGAGGAAGGUGAGAGGCGGCCAUGAGGGGAGAUCAUGGAGGAAGGCGAGGGCGGCCAUGAGGGGAGAUCAUGGAGGAAGACGAGGGCGGCCAUGAGGGGAGAUCAUGGAGGAAGGUGAGAGGCGGCCAUGAGGGGAGAUCAUGGAGGAAGGCGAGGGCGGCCAUGAGGGGAGAUCAUGGAGAAGAUGAGAGGUGGCCAUGAGGGGAGAUCAUGGAGGAAGGUGAGAGGCGGCCAUGAGGGGAGAUCAUGGAGGAAGGUGAGAGGCGGCCAUGAGGGGAGAUCAUGGAUGAAGAUGAGGGCGGCCAUGAGGGGAGAUCAUGGAGGAAGACAAGGGGUGGCCAUGAGGGGAGAUCAUGGAGGAAGACGAGGGGCGGCCAUGAGGGGAGAUCAUGGAGAAGACGAGGGCGGCCAUGAGGGGAGAUCAUGGAGGAAGACGAGGGUGGCCAUGAGGGAGAUCAUGGAUGAAGAUGAGGGCGGCCAUGGGAUGUGAGGGUGUCAGAGCCCGUCCCAGCUGUUCUGAAAUGUCCUUGCUCAGGUGUGCCAGCAGAACAAGCCGCCUCCCAAGGUGAGAUCUCCAGGCGACGGAUUUCACAGGCACCCGCCCUCUGCAUAUGUAAUAACUCACUUUUCAUUUUAAUUUUCAUUUUAACACGUAAUGAGCUGACUUAGAAACCCAAAGCCUGAGGAGCUUGGGAGGAAAUUCAGGAGCAUUUCUGGAAACAGAAGAUUUUGGCUCCUGUUUGGUUGCUUUGAAGAAGGUAUUUGUUUUUUACGAAUUAAAAAAAAAAAAAACAAAAAAAAACCACCAAAACCACAGAUAUUUUGUUGGGAAAUCGCAUCAGGUUUCAUCUUUUCUAUCACGACCGGGUGAAAACCCCUUCUUGUCCCAGCGUUCCACCUCGGACAGCGGUAAUAAAAUCCUACCUGGGGCUGUGUAAAUUCGUUGCUGGUAAAAAUAAACAUUUUUAGAAGCUGGCAUGGGCCCAGUGUUUGUACAUCAGCUCUGCCUUAACGCGCUAUAAAGGGACAAACACCAAAAUUAGGGAUUUUUGUCAUGGCGACAAAAAGCCGAGGGUUUCAAAGUGGGGGGGAAACAAUGCCCCAAACUGAAAUAAACCCCAAAAAGGGGCGUUAAUUUAAGCCUCACUUACUGAAAAACAGAGAAGGAGAGAGGGGUGGUGGGGAAGGGGGUGCGGGAGGAGCCCCAAUCCUUGGGAAAGGGAUGAGGAGGAUCCCAAUCCCUCGGGAAGGGGGUGCAGGAGGAGCCCCAUUCCUUGGGAAAGGGAUGAGAGGGAUCCCAAUCCCUUGGAAAGGGGGGCAGGAGGAGCCCCAUUCCUUGGGAAAGGGAUGAGAGGGAUCCCAAUCCCUCGGGAAGGGGGUGCAGGAGGAGCCCCAUUCCUUGGGAAAGGGAUGAGAGGGAUCCCAAUCCCUUGGAAAGGGGGGCAGGAGGAGCCCCAUUCCUUGGGAAAGGGAUGAGAGGGAUCCCAAUCCCUCGGGAAGGGGGUGCAGGAGAAGCCCCAAUCCUUCGG